AGACAGAGCAAAAUUCUAUAUAGAUUGACAAUUUUUUUUUUUUGUAUAAUCUUCAAAUAUAUAUGUAUUUCAAUAAUUGUAGCCCCACAAAUCAGCUACAACCUUAUACUCACAAUUCUUAAAAAUGCAAAUGGCAAUUUGGUUCUUGUUUAUUCAACAGAAGAUUUUGCACAAUAUCAAAACAAUAUAUUCCCAAUCAAAUAUAUAUUGGUACGUAUGUAUACCAAAUUAAAAUUUAUGCACCAACCCAUCUAUCUCAUCCCACCUAUAGAACUUACAAAAAUAAUAUACAACCUCAACCAUAUACCAUCAAAUCCUAAGCUAUAUAUCUAA